UUUAAAAGAAAAACAUAUACCUUGCACGUAUCAACACGAAAGAUAAAAUCCCUUCCAUCCCA
rnacentral:tRNA from 1 species